rnacentral:rRNA from 1 species
UACGGGGGGGGGCAAGCGUUGUUCGGAAUUACUGGGCGUAAAGGGCUCGUAGGCGGCCCACUAAGUCCGACGUGAAAUCCCCAGGCUUAACUUGGGAACUGCGUCGGAUACUGGUGGGCUUGAAUCCGGGAGAGGGAUGCGGAAUUCCAGGUGUAGCGGUGAAAUGCGUAGAUAUCUGGAGGAACACCGGUGGCGAAGGCGGCAUCCUGGUCUGCGACUGACGCUGUGGCGCGACAGCGUGGGGAGCAAACAGG